rnacentral:rRNA from 1 species
UACGGAGGGUGCGAGCGUUGUCCGGAAUCACUGGGCGUAAAGGGCGCGUAGGCGGUUUCUCAAGCGUGUGGUGAAAGUCCGGGGCUCAACCCCGGAUCGGCCGUGCGGACUGGGGAGCUCGAGUUCUGUAGAGGCGGGUGGAAUUCCGGGUGUAGCGGUGGAAUGCGUAGAGAUCGGGAGGAACAUCAGUGGCGAAGGCGGCCAUCUGGGACAACACUGACGCUGAAGCACGAAAGCGUGGGGAGCAAACAGG